GACGAACGCUGGCGGCGUGCUUAAUACAUGCAAGUCAACUUGACUUUAGAUAGCAAUAUCGAAAAGUAGGGUGGCGCACGGGUGCGUAACGCGUAGGUAAUCUGCCUGAGGUCUGACAUAACCCGUCGAAAGGCGGGCUAACAUCAGAUGAUAUAUAAUCACGACAUCGUGGAAAUAUCAAAUCUUCGGAGCCUUGGGAUGAGCCUGCGUCUGAUUAGGUAGUUGGCGGAGUAAUAGCCCACAAGCCUACGAUCAGUAGCUGGUCUGAGAGGAUGAUCAGCCACACUGGAACUGAGACACGGUCCAGACUCCUACGGGAGCAGCAGUAAGGAAUAUUGCUCAAUGGGGGAAACCCUGAAGCAGCAACGCCGCGUGAAGGAUGAAAUACUUU
rnacentral:rRNA from 1 species